rnacentral:rRNA from 3 species
UGACCUCAAAUCAGGUAGGACUACCCGCUGAACUUAGC